AUCUAUGGCCAUACCAUCCUGGCCAAAGUUGAUCUCGUCUGAUCUAGAAAAGUAAGCAGGGUUAGGUCAGAUUAGUACUUGGGUGGGAGGUAAAUGUUUUUCAUCGUCUUUUGCAGAGAGUCUUUGGAGAGAGA
rnacentral:rRNA from 1 species